GGUUGUGGCUUAGUGGUAGAGCACUUGCCUAGUAUGUGCAAGGCCCUGGGUUCGAUCCCCAGCACCA
rnacentral:tRNA from 1 species